rnacentral:rRNA from 1 species
GACGAACGCUGGCGGCGUGCCUAAUACAUGCAAGUCGAGCGGAGCGGCGGACGGGUGCGUAAUGCCUAGGAAUCUGCCUGGUAGUGGGGGAUAACGUCCGGAAACGGGCGCUAAUACCGCAUACUAUCAGAUGAGCCUAGGUCGGAUUAGCUAGUUGGUGGGGUAAAGGCCUACCAAGGCGACGAUCCGUAACUGGUCUGAGAGGAUGAUCAGUCACACUGUAACGCAGACACGUCCCAGACUCCUACGGGAGGCAGCAUUGGGGAAUAUUGGACAAUGGGGGAAAGCCUGAUCCAGCCAUGCCGCGUGUGUGAAGAAGGUCUGCGGAUGGUAAAGCACUUUAAGUUGGGAGGCGGUACCAACAGAAUAAGCACCGGCUAACUUCGUGCCAGCAGCCGCGGGAAUAC